rnacentral:rRNA from 1 species
GAUGAACGCUGGCUACAGGCUUAACACAUGCAAGUCGAGGGGAAACGACGGGGAAGCUUGCUUCCCCGGGCGUCGACCGGCGCACGGGUGAGUAACGCGUAUCCAACUUGCCUCUGACUGAGGGAUAACCCGUCGAAAGUCGGCCUAAUACCUCAUGGCAUCGUCUGCGGGCAUCCAACGACGAUUAAAGAUUUCAUCGGUCAGAGAUGGGGAUGCGUCUGAUUAGCUUGUUGGCGGGGUAACGGCCCACCAAGGCGACGAUCAGUAGGGGUUCUGAGAGGAAGGUCCCCCACAUUGGAACUGAGACACGGUCCAAACUCCUACGGGAGGCAGCAGUGAGGAAUAUUGGUCAAUGGGCGAGAGCCUGAACCAGCCAAGUAGCGUGCAGGAUGACGGCCCUAUGGGUUGUAAACUGCUUUUAUGCGGGGAUAAAGUGAGGGACGUGUCCUUCAUUGCAGGUACCGCAUGAAUAAGGACCGGCUAAUUCCGUG